GACGAACCGUGCGAACGUUGUUCGGAUUCACUGGGCUUAAAGGGCGCGUAGGCGGCUUGCCAAGUCAGGGGUGAAAUCUUUCGGCUCAACCGGAAAAGUGCUUCUGAUACUGGCGGGCUGGAGGAGGGUAGGGGCAGAUGGAACUUCCGGUGGAGCGGUGAAAUGCGUAGAUAUUGGGAAGAACACCGGUGGCGAAGGCGGCCAUCUGGACCGCAACUGACGCUGAGGCGCGAAAGCGUGGGGAGCAAACAGG
rnacentral:rRNA from 1 species